rnacentral:rRNA from 1 species
AGAGUUUGAUCAUGGCUCAGGAUGAACGCUGGCGGCGUGCCUAACACAUGCAAGUCGAGCGAUUCUCUUCGGAGAAGAGCGGCGGACGGGUGAGUAACGCGUGGGUAACCUGCCCUGUACACACGGAUAACAUACCGAAAGGUAUGCUAAUACGGGAUAACAUAUGAAAGUCGCAUGACUUUUAUAUCAAAGCUCCGGCGGUACAGGAUGGACCCGCGUCUGAUUAGCUAGUUGGUGAGGUAAUGGCUCACCAAGGCGACGAUCAGUAGCCGACCUGAGAGGGUGAUCGGCCACACUGGAACUGAGACACGGUCCAGACUCCUACGGGAGGCAGCAGUGGGGAAUAUUGCACAAUGGGCGAAAGCCUGAUGCAGCAACGCCGCGUGAGCGAUGAAGGCCUUCGGGUCGUAAAGCUCUGUCCUCAAGGAAGAUAAUGACGGUACUUGAGGAGGAAGCCCCGGCUAACUACGUGCCAGCAGCCGCGGUAAUACGUAGGGGGCUAGCGUUAUCCGGAAUUACUGGGCGUAAAGGGUGCGUAGGUGGUUUUUUAAGUCAGAAGUGAAAGGCUACGGCUCAACCGUAGUAAGCUUUUGAAACUGAAGAACUUGAGUGCAGGAGGGGAGAGUAGAAUUCCUAGUGUAGCGGUGAAAUGCGUAGAUAUUAGGAGGAAUACCAGUAGCGAAGGCGGCUCUCUGGACUGUAACUGACACUGAGGCACGAAAGCGUGGGGAGCAAACAGGAUUAGAUACCCUAGUAGUCC